rnacentral:rRNA from 1 species
AGAGUUUGAUCCUGGCUCAGGACGAACGCUGGCGGCGCGCCUAACACAUGCAAGUCGAGCGAUGAGGCCCCUUCGGGGGCACAUCAGCGGCGAACGGGUGAGUAACACGUGGGUUAUCUGCCCCUUAGUUCGGAAUAGCUCCUGGAAACGGGUGGUAAUGCCGGAUGUGGCUGUAGCGGCCAAAGCUCGCAAGAGCGCUAAGGGAUGAGCCUGCGGCGGAUUAGGUAGUUGGUGGGGUAACGGCUUACCAAGCCUACGAUCCGUAGCUGGCCUGAGAGGGUGGUCAGCCACACUGGGACUGAGACACGGCCCAGACUCCUACGGGAGGCAGCAGUUGGGGAUCUUGCACAAUGGGCGAAAGCCUGAUGCAGCGACACCGCGUGGGUGCUACGGCCUUCGGGUCUUAAAGCCCUUUUAGGAGAGAAGAAAGCGUCGGAUUGUCCGGCCGCGGUAAUACGUAGGGGGCGAGCGUUGUCCGGAUUUACUGGGCGUAAAGGGUUCGUAGGCGGUUUGCCAAGUCUCACGUUAAAGCCCCGGGCUCAACUCGGGAUCCGCAUGGGAUACUGGCAGACUUGAGGACAGGAGAGGCGAGCGGAACGUUGCAAGUAGCGGUGAAAUGCAUUGAUAUGCAACGGAACACCAAUGGCGAAGGCAGCUCGCUGGCCUGUUUCUGACGCUGAGGGACGAAAGCUAGGGUAGCGAACGGGAUUAGAUACCCCGGUAGUCCUAGCUGUAAACGAUGGGUACUAGUCGUCGGGGGUAUCGACCCCCUCGGUGACGCAGCUAACGCACUAAGUACCCCGCCUGGGGACUACGGCCGCAAGGUUGAAACUCAAAGGAAUUGACGGGGGCCCGCACAAGCGGUGGAGCAUGUUGCUUAAUUCGAUGCAACGCGAAGAACCUUAUCCAGGCUUUGACAUCUGGCGAAUCCCCUCGAAACAGGGGAGUACCUUCGGGAACGCCAAGACAGGUGGUGCAUGGCUGUCGUCAGCUCGUGCCGUGAGGUGUUGGGUUAAGUCCCGCAACGAGCGCAACCCUCAUCGUUAGUUGCCAGCACGUAAUGGUGGGAACUCUAGCGAAACUGCCCGAGUAAUCGGGAGGAAGGUGAGGGCGAUGUCAAGUCCGCAUGCCCCUUAUAGCCUGGGCUGCAAACAUGCUACAAUGCACGGUACAAUCGGCUAGCCAACUCGCGAGAGUGCGCGAAUCUGAAAAAGCCGUGCCCAGUUCGGAUUGGAGUCUGCAACUCGACUCCAUGAAGGCGGAAUCGCUAGUAACCGCAGGUCAGCGACACUGCGGUGAAUACGUUCCCGGGCCUUGUACACACCGCCCGUCACGCCACGAAAGUCACCGAGCCCGAAGCCGGUAAGCUAACCCGCAAGGGAGGCAGCCGUCUAAGGCAAGGCUGGCGAUUGGGGUGAAGUCGUAACAAGGUAGCCGUAUCGGAAGGUGCGGCUG